rnacentral:rRNA from 1 species
CUACAAGUACCCGUGAGGGAAAGUUGCAAAGCACUUUGAAGAGAGAGUUAAAGAGGACGUGAAACCGAUGAGAUGGAAGCGGAUAGAGCUAGCGUAUCUGGCCUGGAUUCAGCCGUAGGUUUGUUAAUGCCCGGAGUGUUCGGUCUCCAGAUUGGGAUCGGCGUUUGGGUUGUUGGCUAACUUAUGGUGCAUUUUCAGGUGGUGUGCGCCGAGAGCCCUGGGAUGGCUUCAUGAAUCUAGUCUUGAGGCCAGCUUGCUGGUACCCAGAUUGGACUAGUGUUGUUCAUCCUAGGGUUUGUUUGUUUCUGACAUGGCAUACGGGCUCGGGUGGGGUUGAGCUGGAGGUCGGUUACGAUCGCAUGCGAUACGUGCUGUGCAUUCAGUUCGGUCCUAUUCGAGCUCUCAUGGCUAUUCUCGGUGUAAAAGCUGGUCACCUAUCCGACCCGUCUUGAAACACGGACCAAGGAGUUUAUCGUGUGCGCGAGUCAUUGGGUGUUUAAAACCCAAAGGCGCAAUGAAAGUGAAUGCAUCCGCAAGGAGCUGACGUGCGAUCUUAGACACCUCGGUGUCCGAGAGCAGCAUGGCCCCAUCCUGACUGCAUGCAGUGGGGUGGAGGUAGAGCGUACACGGUGAGACCCGAAAGAUGGUGAACUAUUCCUGAGCAGCAUGAAGCCAGAGGAAACUCUGGUGGAAGUGCGAAGCGAUUCUGACGUGCAAAUCGAUCGUCUGACUUGGGUAUAGGGGCGAAAGACUAAUCGAACCAUCUAGUAGCUGUUUCCUUCGCAAA